rnacentral:rRNA from 1 species
CAGUCGCCGCGGUAAUACAGAGGGUGCGAGCGUUAAUCGGAUUUACUGGGCGUAAAGCGUGCGCAGGCGGUUUUGUAAGACAGAGGUGAAAUCCCCGGGCUCAACCUGGGAACUGCCUUUGUGACUGCAAGGCUAGAGUACGGCAGAGGGGGAUGGAAUUCCGCGUGUAGCAGUGAAAUGCGUAGAUAUGCGGAGGAACACCGAUGGCGAAGGCAAUCCCCUGGGCCUGUACUGACGCUCAUGCACGAAAGCGUGGGGAGCAAACAGGAUUAGAUACCCGAGUAGUCCCUGUCUCUUAUAC